CAGCCGUGUGUUCAGCCCAUAGCGGACUAUUCUUUCGCCUUUUACUAAAGAAUACCGUGCGCGGGACACAGAAGCGGCUUAUCUAAAUAUUUGGAACGCUUCUUCAUUGGGGCAC
rnacentral:snRNA from 1 species